GGAGAGUAGAGGAAAGACAGGAGAUGGUUGUUGGCAAGGGCAGGGCGACUGUCCGGCCGAGGCCCAACGUGCUGGGCUGGGGGGUGGGCGGUGCCCACUUGAAGUUCAAGGUCAUAAACUUAACUGGAGCCAAUCCAAAUCCACUGCCCAAGCAAAAGCUUAUCUAAGAAAAAGAAAAAUAACUCGAAGCCUCCAAGACACAUAAAAUCAAGAAUGGACUGACAACGGUGAAGAAGGGUAGAGCUUUUCAGAAAGAUGACCCUCGAUUCAGGGCUUAGCCAUUCUUGUACAUGGAGCCAAGUUCAUUUUACCCGCAACUGACUUACGAGUGUCUCAUAACUCUGGACUCGUAACUGACACCACAAAAGCCCGUUCAAUGUCCAGUUGCUGGGAUGAGCCUAGUGGACAAAACGUCAAGCCAAUGGCAUGAGGACUGUGGUUUCAAUCAAGACCUGUCCCCCCAGAGCAGGGCUGCCCCAGCCCAUCCAUCUGGUAUCUCCGAGUCUCGGCAUCUUCUCUGAAAAUGAGAAUCAGAAGGUGUGUGAGCAAAGUUUGUUGUGUUAAUCAAAAAUAUGUUAAUUUUCUGCAUUUCAAUAACUUCAAGCUUAGCCUGAGAACCUUCCAAGCUGUAGAAAACCUCCUUGACUAAGAGUCCACUUGCACAAGGACCUCCGCCCUUCUGAACACAAACGAGCUGGAAUAGACUGUAAAGAAGGAGGGGGACCCUGGGGCCAGGAAGCUGGUCCUUCACAAGCAGGUCAGUGGUGGGGAUGCAGCUGGGGGCACAUGACACGAUGACAUUUCAUCUGGGUCUGAAAUACUCAGGCCCAGGCCCCCGAGAGUCCUGCAAACAGCGAAUCAGAAGGACUGCAGAGACUGAACAGGUGGUCCCUGAGCAGGUGGCUCUUGGCUGCUUGGAUGAGGGAGGGGAGAGGAGAGAGAAGAUGCUGGGGGCCACCCCAGGGGCCCUGCGCUGGAGACAGGUCCCGGGGCCCAGACUGUCUCACCCGAGAUGCAUCUUCCAUAACCUCCUUGGCAAGUCAGUCCUGAGCAUGAGCCUAGAGAAACCCCUUCACCAGGCCUGCUGUGGAGAAGGCCCUUCAAAGCCUCCCUCAGAAGAACGAGAAGCAUCCAAUGCUCCAUCAGUGGUGCCAUUACUAAUCAAAUUUAAAAGGAUUAAUGAGGGACCUCCCGUCAUGGCGCAGCGGACACGAAUCCGACUAGGAACCAUAAGGUUUUCGGUUCGAUCCCAGGCCCCGCUCAAUGGGUUAAGGAUCCAGCGUUGCCAUGAGCUGUGGUGUAGGUCGUGGACGCGGCUUGAAUCUGGCGUUACUGUGGCUGUGCCACAAGCUGACAGCUAUAGCUCCGAUAAGACCCCGAGUCUGGGAACCUCCACAUGCUGCAAGUGUGGCCCUAAAAAGACAAAAAGGCUAAAAUAAAAUAAAAAUAAAACAAAAUAAAAUAAAAAGUUUAAAAUAAAGUAGGAAAGCCUCUUGGAGGAAAGAAUGAAAGAUCUGUGUUAUAGUGACAAUGACAGAAAUGAAAAGCAUUUUGCCAAGAUUUUGCACCUGUGACAAGCCAGGCCAAGUCACAGACUUCGAAAAGAAUGGGCUCCUUUGGACGGGCGUGUCUGCACACCGAGGUCUAACCACUGGGGCAGUUCUACCCUAUUAGGUGAAGAAGAAACCCCCUCAUCUUGUUGUGGCUUGUGCCGCCCUGCAGGGCUGGGAUUGGGCAGAGAAAGCCUGUGUUUACGUGCGACUUUAAUUUGAUUUACUGUCCCUGACAAGCCCGCCUGAACCCAGCGCUCUGUCUCAGCAGGGUCCCUGCCUCGCCUCUCCUGCUCUGCAAGAACUCGAAAGCAGGAGCUGGCAGGUGGAUGCCGAGGGGGACUUCGCCUCCCUUCAUGCUUGCCCAGGGCAAGUGGAACCAAGCCCGACUGCUUCAGAACCUUUCCUGGGCACGGGCUAAAGGCGCUUGGUGUCACGGUGUCACUGGAGGUGGCCUGAGGGGCAGACAGAUUCACCAGCGAUGGCUGCAUCUUGGGAGCUCAGCUCUGUGAAGCGGCAGUGUCAGCCCCGUGCGAGCUCCCCGCCAUCUGGGGAGGGGACACUAUGCUUGGAAAGUCAGAAGACAGGAAAGCAUCUGCGCCCUCCUCCUCCCGAGGCCCUCAGUGUCCUGCCUCCUCUCUGAGGCUGUCUGUGUUCGAACCUGCCCUGGGCCCUGUCACAGGAACAAAAGAUGGAAUUUCGCAUUUCUACCUCCUCAUUUCCUAGAAUUUCAGCUGCCUUCAUGGUUCUCC
rnacentral:lncRNA from 9 species